rnacentral:rRNA from 1 species
UACGUAGGUGGCAAGCGUUGUCCGGAUUUAUUGGGCGUAAAGAGCGUGUAGGCGGCUUGGAAGGUCAGCUGUGAAAACUCGAGGCUCAACCUCGAGACGUCGGUUGAAACCACCUGGCUAGAGUCCGGAAGAGGAGAGUGGAAUUCCUGGUGUAGCGGUGAAAUGCGCAGAUAUCAGGAAGAACACCCGUGGCGAAGGCGGCUCUCUGGUACGUGACUGACGCUGAGACGCGAAAGCGUGGGGAGCGAACAGG